rnacentral:rRNA from 1 species
UGAGUGGCGGACGGGUGAGUAACGCGUGGGUAACCUGCCCUGUACAGGGGGAUAACAGUUAGAAAUGACUGCUAAUACCGCAUAAGCGCACAAUGGUAGCAUUACCAGGUGUGAAAAACUCCGGUGGGUACAGGAUGGGCCCGCGUCUGAUUAGCUGUUGCGGGGUAAGAGCCCACCAAGGCGACGAUCAGUAGCCGGUCUGAGAGGAUGAACGGCCACAUUGGAACUGAGACACGGUCCAAACUCCUACGGGAGGCAGCAGUGGGGAAUAUUGCACAAUGGGGGGAACCCUGAUGCCAGCAACGCCGCGUGGGUGAAGAAGUAUUUCGGUAUGUAAAGCCCUAUCAGCAGGGAAGAUAGUGACGGUACCUGACUAAGAAGCUCCGGCUAAAUACGUGCCAGCAGCCGC